rnacentral:rRNA from 1 species
UACGUAGGGGGCAAGCGUUGUCCGGAUUUAUUGGGCGUAAAGAGCUCGUAGGUGGUUCGGUAAGUCGGAUGUGAAAGCCCCGGGCUCAACCUGGGAACUGCAUUUGAGACUGGAGGACUUGAGGACGGGAGAGGAGAGUGGAAUUCCCAGUGUAGAGGUGAAAUUCGUAGAUAUUAGGAAGAACACCAGUGGCGAAGGCGGCUCACUGGCCCGGUACUGACGCUGAGGCGCGAAAGCGUGGGGAGCAAACAGG